AACGAACGCUGGCGGCAGGCUUAAUACAUGCAAGUCGAACGCCCCGCAAGGGGAGUGGCGCACGGGUGAGUAACGCGUGGGAAUAUGCCCUUCGGUUCGGAAUAACACAGGGAAACUUGUGCUAAUACCGGAUACGAUCUACGGAUGAAAGAUUCAUCGCCGAGGGAGUAGCCCGCGUCAGAUUAGCUAGUUGGUGAGGUAAUGGCUCACCAAGGCGACGAUCUGUAGCUGGUCUGAGAGGAUGAUCAGCCACACUGGGACUGAGACACGGCCCAGACUCCUACGGGAGGCAGCAGUGGGAAUAUUGGACAAUGGGGCAACCCUGAUCCAGCAAUGCCGCGUGAGUGAUGAAGGCCUUAGGGUUGUAAAGCUCUUUUACCAGGGACGAUGAUGACGGUACCUGGAGAAUAAG
rnacentral:rRNA from 1 species